rnacentral:rRNA from 1 species
CAGCGCCACGAGUGGGAAUCGGUAUUAUUGGGCCUAAAGCGUCCGUAGCCGGUUUGAUAAAUCUUUUGUGAAAUUGUACAGCUUAACUGUACAGCGUGCAAGAGACACUGUCAAACUUGAGACCGGGAGGAGUCAGAAGUAUUCCAGAGGGAGCGGUAAAAUGUUAUAAUCUCUGGAGGACUACCUGUGGCGAAGGCGUCUGACCAGAACGGAUCUGACGGUGAGGGACGAAAGCUAGGGGAGCGAACCGGAUUAGAUACCCGAGUAGUCC